AGUGAACGCUGGCGGUAGGCCUAACACAUGCAAGUCGAACGGCAGCACAGUAAGAGCUUGCUCUUACGGGUGGCGAGUGGCGGACGGGUGAGGAAUACAUCGGAAUCUACUUUUUCGUGGGGGAUAACGUAGGGAAACUUACGCUAAUACCGCAUACGACCUACGGGUGAAAGCAGGGGAUCUUCGUACCUUGCCCGCAUGAAUGAGCCGAGGUCGGAUUAGCUAGUUGGCGGGGUAAAGGCCCACCAAGGCAACGAUCCGUAGCUGGUCUGCGAGGAUGAUCGGCCACACUGGAACUGGGACACGGUCCAGACUCCUACGGGAGGCAGCAGUGGGGAAUAUUGGACAAUGGGCGAAAGCCGGAUGCAGCCAUACCGCGUGGGUGAGGAAGGCCUUCGGGUGGUAAAGCCCUUCUGUUGGGAAAGAAAAGCAGCAGGUUAAAACCCCGCUGUUCUGACGGUACCCAAAGAAAAAGCACCGGCUAACUUCGUG
rnacentral:rRNA from 1 species